rfam:Ipomoea nil DNA, scaffold: scaffold3056, cultivar: Tokyo-kokei standard.
CUGACCUUAGCUCAGUUGGUAGAGUGGUGGACUGUAGUUGGAUUAAUCUAAAUUGGAAAUCCUUAGGUCGCUGGUUUGAUUCCGGCAGGUUGGA